rnacentral:rRNA from 1 species
UGCUGUGAACUCGAAGAGUAGGGCGGGACACGUGGUAUCCUGUCUGAAUAUGGGGGGACCAUCCUCCAAGGCUAAAUACUCCUGACUGACCGAUAGUGAACCAGUACCGUGAGGGAAAGGCGAAAAGAACCCCGGCGAGGGGAGUGAAAAAGAACCUGAAACCGUGUACGUACAAGCAGUGGGAGCACCUUCGGGUGUGACUGCGUACCUUUUGUAUAAUGGGUCAGCGACUUAUAUUCUGUAGCAAGGUUAACCGUAUAGGGGAGCCGAAGGGAAACCGAGUCUUAACUGGGCGUUAAGUUGCAGGGUAUAGACCCGAAACCCGGUGAUCUAGCCAUGGGCAGGUUGAAGGUUGGGUAACACUAACUGGAGGACCGAACCGACUAAUGUUGAAAAAUUAGCGGAUGACCUGUGGCUGGGGGUGAAAGGCCAAUCAAACCGGGAGAUAGCUGGUUCUCCCCGAAAGCUAUUUAGGUAGCGCCUCGUGAACUCAUCUUCGGGGGUAGAGCACUGUUUCGGCUAGGGGGCCAUCCCGGCUUACCAACCCGAUGCAAACUACGAAUACCGAAGAAUGUUAUCACGGGAGACACACGGCGGGUGCUAACGUCCGUCGUGAAGAGGGAAACAACCCAGACCGCCAGCUAAGGUCCCAAAGUCAUGGUUAAGUGGGAAACGAUGUGGGAAGGCACAGACAGCCAGGAUGUUGGCUUAGAAGCAGCCAUCAUUUAAAGAAAGCGUAAUAGCUCACUGGUCGAGUCGGCCUGCGCGGAAGAUGUAACGGGGCUAAACCAUGCACCGAAGCUGCGGCAGCGACACUAUGUGUUGUUGGGUAGGGGAGCGUUCUGUAAGCCGUUGAAGGUGUGCUGUGAGGCAUGCUGGAGGUAUCAGAAGUGCGAAUGCUGACAUAAGUAACGAUAAAGCGGGUGAAAAGCCCGCUCGCCGGAAGACCAAGGGUUCCUGUCCAACGUUAAUCGGGGCAGGGUGAGUCGACCCCUAAGGCGAGGCCGAAAGGCGUAGUCGAUGGGAAACAGGUUAAUAUUCCUGUACUUGGUGUUACUGCGAAGGGGGGACGGAGAAGGCUAUGUCAGCCGGGCGACGGUUGUCCCGGUUUAAGCAUGUAGGCGGAGGUUCCAGGUAAAUCCGGUACCUUGUUAACGCUGAGGUGUGAUGACGAGGCACUACGGUGCUGAAGUGAUAAAUGCCCUGCUUCCAGGAAAAGCCUCUAAGCAUCAGGUAACACGAAAUCGUACCCCAAACCGACACAGGUGGUCAGGUAGAGAAUACCAAGGCGCUUGAGAGAACUCGGGUGAAGGAACUAGGCAAAAUGGUGCCGUAACUUCGGGAGAAGGCACGCUGAUAGGUAGGUGAAGCCCCUGCGGGCGGAGCUGAAAUCAGUCGAAGAUACCAGCUGGCUGCAACUGUUUAUUAAAAACACAGCACUGUGCAAACACGAAAGUGGACGUAUACGGUGUGACGCCUGCCCGGUGCCGGAAGGUUAAUUGAUGGGGUUAGCGGCAAC